GUGCUUGCUCUGGCGGCACAUAUACUAAAAUUGUAACAAUGCAGAAACGAUUAGAAUGGCCCCUAUGCAAGGAUAACACAGAUUCAUAAAGCAUUCCUUAAUUUA
ensembl:snRNA U6 U6 spliceosomal RNA